AGAGUUUGAUCCUGGCUCAGAUUGAACGCUGGCGGCAUGCUUUACACAUGCAAGUCGAACGGCAGCACGGGGGCAACCCUGGUGGCGAGUGGCGAACGGGUGAGUAAUGCAUCGGAACGUACCGUGUAAUGGGGGAUAACGAGUCGAAAGACUUGCUAAUACCGCAUACGCCCUGAGGGGGAAAGUGGGGGAUCGCAAGACCUCACGUUAUACGAGCGGCCGAUGUCGGAUUAGCUAGUUGGUGGGGUAAAGGCUCACCAAGGCGACGAUCCGUAGCUGGUCUGAGAGGAUGAUCAGCCACACUGGGACUGAGACACGGCCCAGACUCCUACGGGAGGCAGCAGUGGGGAAUUUUGGACAAUGGGGGAAACCCUGAUCCAGCCAUUCCGCGUGAGUGAAGAAGGCCUUCGGGUUGUAAAGCUCUUUUGUCCGGAGCGAAACGGGCAUGGUGAAUAUCCGCGUCUACUGACGGUACCGGAAGAAUAAGCACCGGCUAACUACGUGCCAGCCGCCGCGGUAAUACA
rnacentral:rRNA from 1 species